rnacentral:rRNA from 1 species
CCUACGGGGGGCAGCAGUGGGGAAUAUUGGACAAUGGGCGCAAGCCUGAUCCAGCAAUUCCGCGUGGGUGAAGAAGGUCUUCGGAUUGUAAAGCCCUUUCGGCAGGGACGAUGAUGACGGUACCUGCAGAAGAAGCCCCGGCUAACUUCGUGCCAGCAGCCGCGGUAAUACGAAGGGGGCUAGCGUUGCUCGGAAUUACUGGGCGUAAAGGGCGCGUAGGCGGUUUGAUCAGUCAGGCGUGAAAUUCCUGGGCUUAACCUGGGGGCUGCGCUUGAUACGGUCAGACUUGAGGAUGGAAGAGGCUCGUGGAAUUCCCAGUGUAGAGGUGAAAUUCGUAGAUAUUGGGAAGAACACCGGUGGCGAAGGCGGCGAGCUGGUCCAUUACUGACGCUGAGGCGCGACAGCGUGGGGAGCAAACAGGAUUAGAUACCCUGGUAGUC